rnacentral:rRNA from 1 species
AGUGAACGCUGGCGGUAGGCCUAACACAUGCAAGUCGAACGGCAGCACAGUAAGAGCUUGCUCUUACGGGUGGCGAGUGGCGGACGGGUGAGGAAUACAUCGGAAUCUACUUUUUCGUGGGGGAUAACGUAGGGAAACUUACGCUAAUACCGCAUACGACCUACGGGUGAAAGCAGGAGAUCUUCGGACCUUGCGCGAUUGAAUGAGCCGAUGUCGGAUUAGCUAGUUGGCGGGGUAAAGGCCCACCAAGGCGACGAUCCGUCGCUGGUCUGAGAGGAUGAUCAGCCACACUGGAACUGAGACACGGUCCAGACUCCUACGGGAGGCAGCAGUGGGGAAUAUUGGACAAUGGGCGCAAGCCUGAUCCAGCCAUACCGCGUGGGUGAAGAAGGCCUUCGGGUUGUAAAGCCCUUUUGUUGGGAAAGAAAAGCAGCAGGUUAAUACCCCGCUGUUCUGACGGUACCCAAAGAAUAAGCACCGGCUAACUUCGUG